rnacentral:rRNA from 1 species
AAUUACUGGGCGUAAAGCGUGCGCAGGCGGUUUGUAAGUCUGUCGUGAAAUCCCCGGGCUUAACCUGGGAAUUGCGAUGGAGACUGCAAGGCUAGAAUCUGGCAGAGGGGGGUAGAAUUCCACGUGUAGCAGUGAAAUGCGUAGAGAUGUGGAGGAACACCGAUGGCGAAGGCAGCCCCCUGGGUCAAGAUUGACGCUCAUGCGCGAAAGCGUGGGGAGCAAACAGGAUUAGAUACCCUGGUAGUCCACGCCCUAAACGAUGUCUACUAGUUGUCGGGUCUUAAUUGACUUGGUAACGCAGCUAACGCGUGAAGUAGACCGCCUGGGGAGUACGGUCGCAAGAUUAAAACUCAAAGGAAUUGACGGGGACCCGCACAAGCGGUGGAUGAUGUGGAUUAAUUCGAUGCAACGCGAAAAACCUUACCUACCCUUGACAUGCAGGAACCUUGGAGAGAUCUGAGGGUGCCCGAAAGGGAACCUGCACACAGGUGCUGCAUGGCUGUCGUCAGCUCGUGUCGUGGGAUGUUGGGUUAAGUCCCGCAACGAGCGCAACCCUUGUCAUUAGUUGCUACGCAAGAGCACUCUAAUGAGACUGCCGGUGACAAACCGGAGGAAGGUGGGGAUGACGUCAAGUCCUCAUGGCCCUUAUGGGUAGGGCUUCACACGUCAUACAAUGGUACAUACAGAGGGCCGCCAACCCGCGAGGGGGAGCUAAUCCCAGAAAGUGUAUCGUAGUCCGGAUUGUAGUCUGCAACUCGACUACAUGAAGUUGGAAUCGCUAGUAAUCGCGGAUCAGCAUGUCGCGGUGAAUACGUUCCCGGGUCUUGUACACACCGCCCGUCACACCAUGGGAGCGGGUUUCACCAGAAGUAGGUAGCUUAACCGCAAGGAGGGCGCUUACCACGGUGGGAUUCGUGACUGGGGUGAAGUCGUAACAAGGUAACCAAUCUAGAUGC